rnacentral:tRNA from 1 species
CGAAGUAUAGCAUAUUAAAUGCCUCUUACUUACACUAAGAAAAAAAUGAACCUCAUUUACUUCGC